UAAUACGUAGGUGACGAGCGUUAUCCGGAAUUAUUGGGCGUAAAGCGCACGCAAGCGGUCUGUCAAGUCUGACGUGAAAUCUCCUGGCUUAACUGGGAGCGGUCGUUGGAAACUGAUAGGCUUGAGGCGAUGAGAGGGGUGCAGAAUUCCUGGUGUAGUGGUGGAAUGCGUAGAGAUCAGGAGGAAUACCUGUGGCGAAAGCGGCACCCUGGCGUCGUACUGACGCUCAUGUGCGAAAGCGUGGGGAGCGAACGGGAUUAGAUACCCCGGUAGUCCACGCGGUAAACGAUGAACACUAGGUGUGGGCGGUGUCAAAACCGUCUGUGCCAAAGCCAACGCGUUAAGUGUUCCGCCUGGGAAGUACGGCCGCAAGGCUA
rnacentral:rRNA from 1 species